rnacentral:rRNA from 1 species
AACGAACGCUGGCGGUAUGCCUAACACAUGCAAGUCGAACGGCAAGACCGUACUAGCUUGCUACUACGGUUGCCGACGGGCGGAUGAGACAGGAAUAAUUUGCACUCCACUUCUUGGUGGGGGAUAACGACGGGGACCUAUAGCUAAUACCGCAUACGUCUUAUGGGUUAAUGCAGGAGUUCUUCUGACUUUGCGCUAUUGAAUCAGCCGAUGUCGGAUUAGUUAGUUGGCGGGGUUACGGCCCACCCGGGCGACGAUCCGUAGCUGGUCUGAGAGGAGGAUCAGCCACACUGGAACUGAGACACGGUCCAGACUCCGACGGGAGGCAGCAGUGGGGAAUAUUGGACGAUGGGCGCAAGCCUGAUCCAGCCAUACCGCGUGGGUGAAGAAGGCCUUCGGGUUGUAAAGCCCUUUUGUUGGGAAAGAAAAGCAGCAGGUUAAUACCCCGCUGUUCUGACGGUACCCAAAGAAUAAGCACCGGCUAACUUCGUG